rnacentral:rRNA from 1 species
GAUGAACGCUGGCGGCGCGCCUAACACAUGCAAGUCGAACGGUUACAGCACCUUUUCGGUGUAUAUAAAAUGGCGACCGGCUGACUAAUACGUAGGCCAUCUGCCAUCCUCUUCGGGGUAGCGGCGGGAAACCGAGGAUAAUACCCGAUACUUCGAAGUCGCCGCAUGACGACACUGAGAAAACUUUUGCGGAAAUGGAUGUGCGCGCGGCAUGCUAGCUUGUUGGUCGGGUAGAGGGCUACCAAGGCCAUGAGGGGUAGCGGGGAUGCGAGAUGGAACAGCGAGAUUGGGAAUGAGACACGGCGCAGACGCAGAGGGGAGGCAGCAGUGGGGAACGUGGCACAGUGGGCGAAAGGCUGCGUCAGCGACGCCGGGUGUAUGAAGAAUGCCUUCGGGUUGUAAACCGAUAUCAGCAGGGACGAGGCGAUAAGUGACGGUACCUUAAGAAGAAGCCCCGGCUAACUACGUG